UACGUAGGGGGCAAGCGUUGUCCGGAAUCAUUGGGCGUAAAGAGCGUGUAGGCGGCCUGAUAAGUCGGUUGUGAAAGUCAAGGGCUCAACCCUUGAAUGCCGACCGAUACUGUCAGGCUAGAGUCCGGAAGAGGCGAGUGGAAUUCCUGGUGUAGCGGUGAAAUGCGCAGAUAUCAGGAGGAACACCAAUGGCGAAGGCAGCUCACUGGGACGGUAUUGACGCUGAGACGCGAAAGCGUGGGGAGCAAACAGG
rnacentral:rRNA from 1 species